AAAUCUGAAAUAAAUUAUUAUAUUCAGUUUCGACCUGAAAUUUUAGUUAAUUUUAUUAACUCUGAUUUA
rnacentral:tRNA from 1 species